GCCUGGGUAGCUCAGUGGGUUGAGCGUCUGACUUCAGCUCAGGUCAUGAUCUCACAGUCCGUGAGUUCGAGCCCCACAUCAGGCU
rnacentral:tRNA from 1 species